UACGUAGGGUGCAAGCGUUGUCCGGAAUUAUUGGGCGUAAAGAGCUCGUAGGCGGUUUGUCGCGUCGGCUGUGAAAACCUGGGGCUCAACCCCGGGCCUGCAGCCGAUACGGGCAAACUAGAAUUCGGUAGGGGAGACUGGAAUUCCUGGUGUAGCGGUGAAAUGCGCAGAUAUCAGGAGGAACACCUGCGGCGAAGGCGGGUUGCUGGGCCGACACUGACGUGAUGCGCGAAAGCCAGGGGAGCGAACGGGG
rnacentral:rRNA from 1 species